AUAACCCAAGUCUCCGUAUAAUCCAUUUUACCACGAUUUUUACUUUUCAAAAUGUCAAAAAACGUCCCUGUUUGUUUGGUUUUUUUUUGGGAAAAAGACCAUCGGCACAAAAUAGAAAAAAUCAAACCCUAUUUUAAUGAUAAUCUUUUUUAUUAGCCCAUUUGAAUACAAGAUACUUAUUUUAAGCCCAAAUACACAAAUCUUUAUUAAAAUAUAAUAAAAUGAUAUUUUAAAAGACUUUUUUACCCUUAACCUUUAUUUAAAGAGAAAAAAAGAAAAAGAAAAAGAAGAAGAGAAGACUUUCCCGGAAGCACACCGGACACCAGCGUCGGUCACUGGAUUCCUGUCGCCGAACACCGGUUGCCUGAUUCCCGUCACCGGACACUGGCCGCCGGAUUCUGGUCACCGGUCGCCGGAAAAUUGAUGGUGAUCGGAAAAUCGCCGAAGUCUCACUGGAUUUUUUUGUAAAAAAAAUGUCACAAGAACCCACUGGAUCUUGCCGGAAGCAUACCGGCAAAAAAUGAAGUUUACUACCCCUAGUAAACUUGCAAAACAGUAGCUCCAAUGCCAUAAUUCACAUUGAAAAAGAGAAAAAUCAACUUAGAUGCGAAAAAAUGAAGUUUACUACCCCUAGUAAACUUUUACUGGGGGUAGUUACUAGGGGUAGUAAACUUGCAAAACAGUAGCUCUAAUGCCAUAAUUCACAUUGAAAAUGAGAAAAAUCAACUUAGAUGCGAAAAAAAGGUUUACUACCCCUAGUAAACUUUUACUGGGGGUAGUAAACUUGCAAAACAGUAUUUUCAAGACCAUAAUACACACUAGUAAACUUUUACUGGGGGUAGUAAACUCUAAAUAAAGUUUCUCCAUGACAAUUAUACACCUUAAAACAAUGAAAAAUCAACUUAGAUGCAGAAAAAUAAAGUUUACUACCCCUAGUAAACUUCUUUUGGGGGUAGUAAACUUGCAAUACAGUUUUCCUAUGACCAUUAUAUACCUUAAAAGAGAGAAAAAAUCAACAUAUAUGCAAAAAAAUAAAGUUUACCACCCCUAGUAAACAUCUUACUGGGGGUAGUAAUCCUGCAAAAUAAUAUCUCCAAAGCUAUAAGUACACAUUAAAACGGAGAAAAAUCAACUUAGAUGCGAAAAAAUAAAAUUUACUACCCCUAGUAAACUUUUACUGGG
rnacentral:lncRNA from 1 species